GACGAACGCUGGCGGCGUGCUUAACACAUGCAAGUCGAACGGUGAACGAGGGAGCUUGCUCCCUCCGGAUCAGUGGCGAACGGGUGAGUAACACGUGAGCAAUCUGCCCCGAACUCUGGGAUAAGCGUUGGAAACGACGUCUAAUACCGGAUACGACGCGGGAGGGCAUCCUCUCCGCGUGGAAAGAACUUCGGUUCGGGAUGAGCUCGCGGCCUAUCAGCUUGUUGGUGAGGUAACGGCUCACCAAGGCGACGACGGGUAGCCGGCCUGAGAGGGUGACCGGCCACGCUGGGACUGAGACACGGCCCAGACUCCUACGGGAGGCAGCAGUGGGGAAUAUUGCACAAUGGGCGCAAGCCUGAUGCAGCAACGCCGCGUGAGGGACGACGGCCUUCGGGUUGUAAACCUCUUUUAGCAGGGAAGAAGCGAAAGUGACGGUACCUGCAGAAAAAGCACCGGCUAACUACGUG
rnacentral:rRNA from 1 species